CAGCAGCCACGGUAAUGCGUAGGUGGCAAGCGUUGUCCGGAAUUAUUGGGCGUAAAGGGCUCGCAGGCGGUUUCUUAAGUCUGAUGUGAAAGCCCCCGGCUCAACCGGGGAGGGUCAUUGGAAACUGGGAAACUUGAGUGCAGAAGAGGAGAGUGGAAUUCCACGUGUAGCGGUGAAAUGCGUAGAGAUGUGGAGGAACACCAGUGGCGAAGGCGACUCUCUGGUCUAUAACUGACGCUGAGGAGCGAAAGCGUGGGGAGCGAACAGGAUUAGAUACCCGUGUAGUCCCUGUCUCUUAUAC
rnacentral:rRNA from 1 species